rfam:Sphingomonas koreensis strain ABOJV, complete genome.
CCAGAGGGCCGGGCGGCCGCGUUGCACUUCGGUGCACCGAGGAAAGUCCGGGCUCCACGGAAACACGGUGCCGGGUAACGCCCGGCGGUUCCGGCUUCGGCCGGGGUCAGGGAAAGUGCCACAGAGAGCAGACCGCCCACCAUCCUUCGGGGUAGGGGCAAGGGUGAAAGGGUGCGGCAAGAGCGCACCGCGCGACCGGCAACGGAAGCGGCACGGCAAACCCCACCGGGAGCAAGAUCGAAUAGGGGCCGCUUAUGGGGUGUUCCGCCUCGCGGCCCGGGUUGAUUGCUUGAGCCUGCACGCAAGUGCAGGCCUAGAGGAAUGGCCGCCCAUCGCGUGCACCUCCCGCAAGGGAAAGGGCCGCGUGGACAGAACCCGGCUUACAGGCCCUCUGGCACU